rnacentral:rRNA from 1 species
GAUGAACGCUGGCGGUGUGCCUAAUACAUGCAAGUCGAGCGGUAAGGUCUCUUCGGAGAUACACGAGCGGCGGACGGGUGAGUAACGCGUAAGAAUGUACCCCAAAGUGAGGGAUAAGCACCAGAAAUGGUGUCUAAUACCGCAUAUGCUCUUAGGAGUAAAGCUUCGGCGCUUUGGGAACAGCUUGCGUAUGAUUAGCUAGUUGGUAAGGUAAUGGCUUACCAAGGCGCCGAUCAUUAGCGGGUCUGAGAGGAUGAUCCGCCACACUGGGACUGAGACACGGCCCAGACUCCUACGGGAGGCAGCAGUAGGGAAUUUUCCACAAUGGGGGCAACCCUGAUGGAGCAACACCGCGUGCAGGAUGAAGGCCUUCGGGUUGUAAACUGCUUUUGUCUGUGACGAGUAUGACGGUAGCAGACGAAUAAGGAUCGGCUAACUACGUGCCAGCAGCCGCAGUAA